GACGAACGCUGGCGGCGUGCUUAACACAUGCAAGUCGAACGGAAAGGCCUUGGUUUUGUGGGGUGCUCGAGUGGCGAACUAGCGAGUAACAAGUGAGUACCCUGCCCUGGACUUUGGGAUAACGUCAGGAAACUGGGGCUAAUACCGGAUAGGAGCUCCUGCGGCAUGGUGGGGGUUGGAAAGUUUCGGCGGUUGGGGAUGGACUCGCGGCUUAUCAGCUUGUUGGUGGGGUAGUGGCUUACCAAGGCUUUGACGGGUAGCCGGCCUGAGAGGGUGACCGGCCACAUUGGGACUGAGAUACGGCCCAGACUCCUACGGGAGGCAGCAGUGGGGAAUAUUGCACAAUGGGCGGAAGCCUGAUGCAGCAACGCCGCGUGCGGGAUGACGGCCUUCGGGUUGUAAACCGCUUUCGCCUGUGACGAAGCGUGAGUGACGGUAAUGGGUAAAGAAGCACCGGCUAACUACGUG
rnacentral:rRNA from 1 species